GUAUACUUGCCUUUCUGCA
rnacentral:snRNA from 1 species